AUGAUAGCCUCAGUGUCUGACCAGCAUCAUCCCUACAUAAGUGUUCUUCAGCGUUUCAACAACUCAGCAACUCUCACACUUCAAACUACUACAGAUCAAGGUGAGAAGAGGACAGAGCAACGAAUUGUAGAAAUCUAAGGAUAAUGACAAGUAAGGAAAGGAGAGGUGAGGAGUGACUCAGUGGGAGACCAUUUAACUCUCAGAUGGAGGACAGGCCUCCCUUUGUCUCGACCGGGAGGGAGGGAGUCCUUCCCCUGGAGAAGAGGAGAGGAAGAAAUAACUUUCAAUUCAUCUCACUGUUCCUCUCAUCAGACACAGGGAAAGUGUGACCCAUGGUUGAAUCUUUCCUGUGCCAGUCAGUGAAUUAUUGUCCAACGGUCCACAUCAAGUCAGCUGAGGCUGACCAACAGUCGUAGAAAGGGGAACACCAACACUGCCAGCCACCUCAACAACCAGAGCAAGAUGAACAUCCGUGCUUUCCUGUCCAAUGCCAAGCUAGAGAUCGAUGCCUUCAUUGUCUCCAAUGCUGCCGCUGGCAGCAGUGACACAUUGACCAAGCAACAGCAGCAGCCCGGUGGCAAGAAGUUCAACUUCAGGAAGGACGUGCAGUGUGUCCGUGUGCUGGCCUUGCAGAGUCAAGAGCUGCCUUGGGUGGAGAACAAAUUUAUCUCUGUCUUUGUGGAGGACGAGAACGAUGAAAACAUCUGUUCCAGACAGAUUGUUCCGUGCAUGGCUUUGUCCUCUCUUGUGUCUUUCAUCUUAUAUGAUGUAUAGCUAUAGCAAUGAUUGAUCCCAUUGAAACUGUACUCUUUGGUUAAUAUCAUUAGAAAGUGCUCUGACAUUCCAUUGAAAAAGAAGGCUUUUCAAAUAAGUCAUUUCAACACAGAACAAACCACAAAACACCUCACGAAUGUGAAAAUGCGCAUUUGUACCUGAACAUUUGAAUGUUGACUCAUCUUUCAGAGAAAUGUAACUAAAACUAUGUCACUUCUUUAGGGACUUUGGUAUCAUUGACAGCUUCUGAAAAACCUGUAUUCUUCUGUAUCCUUCAAAUAAAACUGUUAUGUGACUUCA